rfam:Oryza nivara chromosome 3, whole genome shotgun sequence.
CCUGGUUUCCGUGUUCAACGUUUGACCAUCCGUCUUAUUUAAAAAAAUUAUAAAAAAAUUAAAAGACAAGUCAUGCAUAAAGUAUUAAUCAUGUUUUAUCAUCUAGCAAUAAUGAAAAUACUAAUUAUAAAAAAAUUCAUAUAAGACGGACAAUCAAAUAUUGGACACGAAAAUUAAGGGUUUAUCUUUUU